rnacentral:rRNA from 1 species
CCGCACAAGCGGUGGAGCAUGUGGUUUAAUUCGAUGCAACGCGAAGAACCUUACCUGGUCUUGACAUCCACAGAACUUUCCAGAGAUGGAUUGGUGCCUUCGGGAACUGUGAGACAGGUGCUGCAUGGCUGUCGUCAGCUCGUGUUGUGAAAUGUUGGGUUAAGUCCCGCAACGAGCGCAACCCUUAUCCUUUGUUGCCAGCGGUCCGGCCGGGAACUCAAAGGAGACUGCCAGUGAUAAACUGGAGGAAGGUGGGAUGACGUCAAGUCAUCAUGGCCCUUACGACCAGGGCUACACACGUGCUACAAUGGCGCAUACAAAGAGAAGCGACCUCGCGAGAGCAAGCGGACCUCAUAAAGUGCGUCGUAGUCCGGAUUGGAGUCUGCAACUCGACUCCAUGAAGUCGGAAUCGCUAGUAAUCGUGGAUCAGAAUGCCACGGUGAAUACGUUCCCGGGCCUU